CCACCACCGCCCGUCACGCCAUGGAAGUUGGGUGCGCCCGAUAUCCGUGUCCUAACCCGCAAGGGAGGGAGCGGCCUAAGGCGAGCUCGAUGACUGGGGCG
rnacentral:rRNA from 1 species